rnacentral:misc_RNA from 1 species
GAUGAAGAACGUAGCGAAAUGCGAUAAGUAAUGUGAAUUGCAGAAUUCAGUGAAUCAUCGAAUCUUUGAACGCACAUUGCGCCUGCCAGCACUCUGGCAGGCAUGCCUGUUCGAGCGUCAUUUCAACCAUCAAGCCCUAGGCUUGCGUUGGAGCCCUGCGGCUGCCGCAGGCCCCUAAAAGCAGUGGCGGGCUCGCUAUCACACCGAGUGCAGUAGAUUACUCUUCGCUCAGGGCGUGUGGCGGGUUCCAGCCGUGAAACCCCCUACUUCUCAAGGUUGACCUCGGAUCAGGUAGUAAUACCCGCUGAACUUAAGCAUAUCAAUAAGCGGAGGA